ensembl:Y_RNA Y_RNA Y RNA
GGUGGGUCCAAGUGCAGCGGUGUUUAUAGUUCAUUGAUCACAGCCAGUUACAGUUUCUUUUGCUCCUUCUCCACUCUCACGGUUUCACUUCACCAGCCUUAA